rnacentral:rRNA from 1 species
UGGGGAAUAUUGGACAAUGGGCGAAAGCCUGAUCCAGCCAUGCCGCGUGGGUGAAGAAGGCCUUAGGGUUGUAAACCCCUUUCAGCGGGGAAGAUAAUGACGGUACCCGCAGAAGAAGCCCCGGCUAACUCCGUGCCAGCAGCCGCGGUAAUACGGAGGGGGCUAGCGUUGUUCGGAAUUACUGGGCGUAAAGCGCGCGUAGGCGGAUUUGCAAGUCAGGGGUGAAAUCCCGAGGCUCAACCUCGGAACUGCCUUUGAUACUGCGGAUCUUGAGUCCGAGAGAGGUGAGUGGAAUUCCUAGUGUAGAGGUGAAAUUCGUAGAUAUUAGGAAGAACACCAGUGGCGAAGGCGGCUCACUGGCUCGGUACUGACGCUGAGGCGCGAAAGCGUGGGGAGCAAACAGGAUUAGAUACCCCCGUAGUCC